rnacentral:tRNA from 1 species
GGGGAUGUAGCUCAGCAUAGAAGAGUGCUGCUUUGACACGGCAGAGGUCGGAGGUGCAACUCCUCCCAUCCCUAC